rnacentral:rRNA from 1 species
AGAACGAACGCUGGCGGCAGGCCUAACACAUGCAAGUCGAGCGCUGUAGCAAUACAGAGCGGCGCACGGGUGAGUAACACGUGGGAACGUGCCCUUUGGUUCGGAAUAACUCAGGGAAACUUGAGCUAAUACCGGAUGAGCCCUAACGGGGAAAGAUUUAUCGCCGAAGGAGCGGCCCGCGUUGGAUUAGCUAGUUGGUGGGGUAAAAGCCUACCAAGGCGACGAUCCAUAGCUGGUUUGAGAGAACGACCAGCCACACUGGGACUGAGACACGGCCCAGACUCCUACGGGAGGCAGCAGUGGGGGAAUCUUGGACAAUGGGGGAAACCCUGAUCCAGCCAUGCCGCGUGAGUGAUGAAGGCCCUAGGGUUGUAAAACUCGUUUCGGCGGGGACGAUAAUGACGGUACCCGCAGAAGAAGCUCCGGCUAACUCGUGCCAGCAGCCGC